GGACCCGCAGCAUCCCACCCCUCCUGCUCUUGGAGGUGGGGUGUGAAUCCCGGCGGCAGCAGCAGCCUAGAGCCCGCCCCGCCAGCCCUGCCCCGCAUUCGGGACAGCAGCCGCCGCCGCCGGAGCGUUGCCCUUUUAAGUUGUGGCCCCACUUGCCUCCUCCCCGGCUCCCCGAGGGGCUCCGGCAGCCGCCGCGACCUCCCUCCCUCCGUCCUUCCCUCUGUUCCUCCUCCUCCUCUCCCUCCCUCCGUCCGUUCGUCCCUGCCCGAUCCCGGUGGCGGCAGCUGCGGGCCGGGCUGCCCCUGCGUCUGUCCCCGCCGCCCGGGGACCAUGGGAUGCUGCACCGGGCGCUGCACCCUCAUCUUCCUCUGCACUUUGCAGCUGCUGGCUGCAUUAGAGAGGCAAGUGUUUGAUUUCCUGGGAUACCAGUGGGCCCCCAUCCUAGCCAACUUCCUCCACAUCAUCAUUGUCAUCCUCGGCUUGUUCGGCACUAUCCAGUACCGACCUCGUUACAUCGUGGUGUAUGCCAUCUGGACUGCAGUUUGGGUCACCUGGAACAUCUUCAUCAUCUGCUUUUACUUAGAAGUGGGAGGGCUCUCAAAGGACAGUGAACUCCUGACGUUCAACAUCUCCCGGCACCAGUCAUGGUGGAGUGAAAAUGGUCCUGGCUGUGUAAGGAAAGAGGCUUCAAUGUCUGGUAUCAAAGGGCUGGAGAGCCAUUCCUACAUCUCUGUGAUCGGCUGUGCCCUGGAGUAUCGCUACAUCGAGGUCAUGCACAGCUCCUUCCAGAUCCUCAUCGCGCUGGUGGGCUUUGUCUACGCCUGUUAUGUUGUCAGUGUUUUUACAGAAGAAGAAGACAGCUUUGAUUUCAUUGGUGGAUUUGAUCCAUUUCCUCUCUACCAUGUCAAUGAAAAACCCACCAACCUUUUGUUCAAGCAGACAUACCUGUAGACUUUUCCCCAAACAAACAAUUUGCUGAAUAUCAACAACAUGAAUUUGCAAAGUGUUUUGAUCAAACAGAAGCUGCAUGUUUAAGAGGCCUGCGUAAGUGAAGAAGAGCCAGAGGAUGGAUAAACUUUGCACUCCACCAUCAAAGCUGCUGCAGGAAACAAACCCCUGUGGCCUGGAUCUUUGGCAGAGAAAAUGCAGGAUGGUGAACUCCAUUCCAUUGUCUUGUUCCUUGUCCUCUUUUCAAAUGCACUGAAUGUACAUUGAAGAGUGGCCACACGGUUGAUUUUUAAUUCUGCAAGUGCCCUCAUGAACCACUCCUACCAUAGUCUGGUGGUAGAGGCCAAUAAAUGGCACAUGCCUGAAGACCUCAGGCAGAACAAGUUCACCAAGAGCCUCUGAAGAGAUAAAGCUGAAGUCGGAGCUGCUUCCUUGUGCCACGGACCCAUAGAGAAGGAAGCACUGUGUAACAAACUGGGACAUUUCAUACACUCUGUAGUUAGUUCCUUCCCCUUCUCCUCUCCCUUGUUCUGGAAAGGGCCUCAAAUCCCCUAACACAACUUCAUCUCCUCCCUGCUUGUUAGAACUAAGUGGGGGCUAUUUACAUUUCAGUUAUUUAGGCUUUUUUAAAGUUAUAGAUGAGAGCUCUUCCCUUUCCCAGCCCACCAUGGAUCUCUUUGUCCUCUUCUUUAGAGAUGGCCUUAGCAAUAGGCAUUUGUCCUGGAUUUCAGCAUUCCAUGACUAACUCCUGUAAUGCUGAACAACUAAAGCAGCAACACAACCACCAAAUCUUUGCUCAGUGUGGAGCUUAGCCCCAUUUCAACAUGCCAAGCCAUUCUCAGAGCAGCUGUAGCUUACUCUGAGUUUGCCCAUCUCUAUCAAGUUAACACUGGUGUAGACAUAAUAUACACAGCUAAAACCUGCUGCAGGACACUGGCAAAGAACCUAGUUCUUCAUGGAUCAUAGAUAAUUUUGUACCUGCUCUCUUCACCAAGCAGCUGUAAUUGUGCAGCAGGCACAAGCCUGGCAACGUCCUGACGGAAGGGGUUUUUUGUGACAGGAUAAAUUUGAUGGGAGGGAAUGGGCUGAAGGACAGAGGGAAUAAAUGUGUAAUUAACUUACAUAAGUGAGCUGCAGCAAUUAAACAAAAACCCCACAACGAACAAUGUCGGUUUUGUUAGCUGUGUCUCCCAGCAUGUUAAGUGUCAAGCAGAGAAGAGCACUUGUGAGCCAUCCCUGGCUGGUACGUUCCAAGUGCUGUUGUAAUUCUCCAUUGUCUUGCCCUAUCUGUUUGAGAUUCCUUGGCACCUCUGAGUAAUGCUUUUCAGAAGAGUCAAGCUAGAAACCAAGUUAGGGAGAGGAAAGUGUGAGAGAAGAGUGAAAAGAAAUAAAAAGAGAAAUUAAGUGCUAAGUCAAAGAGAAUGAUGCACCUUUCUUUGCCCCAUUCCAAAGGGCCCAGGAAGCAAAAACCCUCUUCUACAGACUUAAAACUCUAAAGUUCUAAGAGAAUAUUCUUUGAGUGACUUCCAUUCCAAAUACCCAGUACAACCUAACAGCUCAAGUUCUGAUCAGGAGCAGAUGCAAGUAACAAUGUUGUAACAUUCUACCUCUCCAACUGACCAAGCCUUGAUAGCACAUUUACUAAUAAAACUGAUCAAAACCACUUGCCAAGUGCUCUAAAGAGACUAAGAAGCAAGCUAUCUAUGCCCUUAACAGCCUGCCUCUUGACUUUACUACAGCCUGGUAAAGAUCAAAUAAAUACAAGUGCAUUGACCAAGUAGCUUCAGAACUACCAUUCUGUUAUGAUGAACUUAAGCUAAAGUUUUUAAUAGAAGUAAAGUAAGUGUUCAGGUAAGCUUAUAAGAUUCAGUGUUAGUGACUGCCAUAAAUCACCCUUAAAAGAAAGUCUGAGAAAAGACAAUAAGCUGCCAAGGUUCAUAAUCCUAAAUCACUUCCUAGAGCCAUUCAUCCUCCACACCGACAACCCUCCCUCCUGGUCUGCCUGUGCUGGACCUACCCUGAGUGGCACCAGGUCAUACAGUUCUCUGCAGCUGGGGACUCCCAGUCGGUUGCAUCUCAAGCGUACCCUAGAAUUCGGAGCAGCUGAAGGUUUUGCUCCCGUGGGUUCCCUUAUCUCCAUGUUCGGAGUGCCCUCUAUUGGGGACAGGCACCACUUGAGAGUCUGCUAGUCAAAACCAGUAUGUACCUGGCUCUGAAGGGACAUCUUCUGGUAGAUAACACCGGCUCCAGCCUGUCACUUUACAAAGUGUCAAUUAAAAGAAGCCCUACAAGUAGCUGUUAGAGGCUACUGAUGCUCAGGGCUAGGUUCCAGCCACUCUGGGACGAACUUGAAGGAAAUAAAACUAUCCCAACACUGA